GCCAGCAGCCGCGGUAAUACCCGCAGCCCAAGUGGUGGUCGAUUUAUUGAGUCUAAACGUCGUAGCCGGUUCAUUAAAUCCUUGGGUAAAUCGGGAUGGCUUAACUAUCCGAAUUCCGGGGAGACUGGUGAACUUGGGACCGGGAGAGGCAAGAGGUACUUUUUGGGGUAGGGGUAAAAUCCUGUAAAUCCUAAAAAGGACCACCGGUGGCGAAGGCGUCUUGCUAGAACGGAUCCGACGGUGAGGGACGAAGCCCUGGGUCGCAAACGGGAUUAGAUACCCCGGUAGUCCAGGGUGUAAACGCUGCAGACUUGGUGUUGGGGACCCUUCGGGGGUGUUCAGUGCCGGAGAGAAGUUGUUAAGUCUGCUACUUGGGGAGUACGUCCGCAAGGAUGAAACUUAAAGGAAUUGGCGGGGGAGCAACCCGCAACGGGAGGAACGUGCGGUUUAAUUGGAUUCAACACCGGAAAACUCACCAGCAGCGACUAUUACAUGAAAGUCAGGCCGAUGACCUUACUAGAUUUUUAGAGUGGAGGUGCAUGG
rnacentral:rRNA from 1 species